UCCAUAUAUAUAUAUGAUCAAUAGCAAGGUGCAAAGCACGGACACUUAGCUAGUUUCUCAUAUUUCUGCAUCUUAGUUUACUACAAUCAGAGUUCAGAGAGAGCAAAAGCAAAGGCAGUUGACUUGAAUGCUUGAUACUCAAAUAGCAUUACAAGCAAUCAAAAAGCAACAUGGUUCAGGUUUCAACAUAAAAAUGAUGAAUCUUAUUCAGCAGCACAAGUUCUGGUCUACUUAAUAGGAAAGCUUCAUUCAAGCAGCAAAUCCCUAAAGAUGCUGAUGGCUUUUAGGAUCUUCUAGUUCUUGGCUAAAUAUCCAAUAACUUCUUUUGUUGCACUACCAAACCUUAUAACCUACAACUCAACCAUUCAAUUAUGUCAUUCAUGAUAUCUUGUCCUUCUGGUUCAAAUAGGAGAUCAUGUAAGAAUCCUUCAAAUAAUUUUAUGGUUUUGUCAGUUGAGGAUGCUUCAUCAUAAAGUUUUUGUGAAGCUUCUGGGUCAGUUACGGUGUCAGCAGUACCAUGCAGAACUAGAAAGGGUACUCUCAUUCUGCUCAGAUUUUGCUGCAAGUAAGUUGUAAUUCGCAGAAUUUCAUACCCAGUUCUUACCCUAAUGGAUCCAGUGUACACUAAUGGGUCUGAAUACUUGGCUAUUAGCGCCUCUGGAUCACGAGAAACUAGCGUGCCCUUCUUGUUUGCAGCACUAAGUUGCAACCUUGGCAAUAAAACUGAGAAAAUUGGGGCCAGUACCACAAAAAUAGGAUGGGAUGGCUGAACUCCUACUGUGGGGGAAGUCAAUACUGCACCAGCUACAUGGGCAUCCACUUUUGGAUCCAGCAUCGCCUGCAAUUGCUCAUGUAGUAGAAGUGAAAAUAACUAUCGGAUUCUAUGUCACAUAAUGAGAAUAGAAGCAAGCAUUUGCACCUUCAUUAAGCAAUCAAACGCCCUCAAAUUAUAAAGAAACCCAUAAUUACAUUCCAACCUUACCUUCAGGACAAUGGCUGCUCCUGUUGAGUGUCCAAAGCAAAAUCAUGGAAGCCCAGGAUUAUCUCCUAAAACUUUAUCAAGAAAUGAUUUAAAAUCACUGACAGCAUAAUCAGGAGAAUGAACAUAUGCAUGUAGGCCAUCACUCCUGCCAUGUCCAUUUGCGGGCAGGGGGCGUGGGACGAUGGGGAAAUGAGGCCUUCUCUUAUUUCAGAUCAUUCAACCUCAAUCCAAUCCAUUCCAUAGACCUUAAACCCAUGAGCAUUCAGCUGCUUUGCAAAAUCACUGUAUCUGCCUGCCACUGUUGUAAAUAAUGAAACUGAUUAUGACAGAAACAGGGGUCCACAACUGGGUAAAAAUGGUGUCUCCUGUGGCAGUAACAAACAGCGAAAACUCCCUCACCGAAUUCGGGCAUCAUCCUGUAACACCCGCCGGAUUGCGAGGGCCCUCCUGGCCGCCACCUCUUGAUCCACCGCCAGAUGAUGCGCUACUCUUCCAAGGCACUAUCGUCGCUGGGACCCGUACCAUCUUCCUCUGAGGCCCACGCUCCUGUAACUUGCCACAAUCCUUAGGCUUGUCCAUCGAUGAACUAACGUGCACCGUCCGUCUCGGGCCACGGAAGGGGAGCAGCAGUAGCAGAACGACAGCGUUUAUCAGUAAUAACAAAAUUUUUAACGCUCGAACCGAAAACAACGGAUUAACCCUCCCACUGGCACCGGACGUUAGAAUCAAGGACGAGGAAGCUGGAGACUGCUCCAUUGCCAUGAAUGAAGAAGGUGGUGGUUUUCUACUAAGAAUCAAUGACGUUUUGAGGUGUAAGAGUGGAAUUCUUCUGAGAAGAAGAAGAGGGGAAGGUUUUCGGGUGAGAAUUGUGGCCAAAUGAUAGAGUUGAGAUGGGUGGAGCACUUGCAGUAGGACAGACCAUAAACAGAAAGCGCAAGCGAUAGAAGAACCCACAACCCAAAAAAAUAAUUAAAAAUGACGUGUUUACGUUUCUUUUCGAGUCUCUGUCCCAAU
rnacentral:misc_RNA from 1 species